rnacentral:rRNA from 1 species
GGGUUGUGAGGUUAAGCGACUAAGCGUACACGGUGGAUGCCCUGGCAGUCAGAGGCGAUGAAGGACGUGCUAAUCUGCGAUAAGCGUCGGUAAGGUGAUAUGAACCGUUAUAACCGGCGAUUUCCGAAUGGGGAAACCCAGUGUGAUUCGUCACACUAUCAUUAACUGAAUCCAUAGGUUAAUGAGGCGAACCGGGGGAACUGAAACAUCUAAGUACCCCGAGGAAAAGAAAUCAACCGAGAUUCCCCCAGUAGCGGCGAGCGAACGGGGAGCAGCCCAGAGCCUGAAUCAGUGUGUGUGUUAGUGGAAGCGUCUGGAAAGGCGUGCGAUACAGGGUGACAGCCCCGUACACAAAAAUGCACAUGCUGUGAGCUCGAUGAGUAGGGCGGGACACGUGGUAUCCUGUCUGAAUAUGGGGGGACCAUCCUCCAAGGCUAAAUACUCCUGACUGACCGAUAGUGAACCAGUACCGUGAGGGAAAGGCGAAAAGAACCCCGGCGAGGGGAGUGAAAAAGAACCUGAAACCGUGUACGUACAAGCAGUGGGAGCACGCUUAGGCGUGUGACUGCGUACCUUUUGUAUAAUGGGUCAGCGACUUAUAUUCUGUAGCAAGGUUAACCGAAUAGGGGAGCCGAAGGGAAACCGAGUCUUAACUGGGCGUUAAGUUGCAGGGUAUAGACCCGAAACCCGGUGAUCUAGCCAUGGGCAGGUUGAAGGUUGGGUAACACUAACUGGAGGACCGAACCGACUAAUGUUGAAAAAUUAGCGGAUGACUUGUGGCUGGGGGUGAAAGGCCAAUCAAACCGGGAGAUAGCUGGUUCUCCCCGAAAGCUAUUUAGGUAGCGCCUCGUGAAUUCAUCUCCGGGGGUAGAGCACUGUUUCGGCAAGGGGGUCAUCCCGACUUACCAACCCGAUGCAAACUGCGAAUACCGGAGAAUGUUAUCACGGGAGACACACGGCGGGUGCUAACGUCCGUCGUGAAGAGGGAAACAACCCAGACCGCCAGCUAAGGUCCCAAAGUCAUGGUUAAGUGGGAAACGAUGUGGGAAGGCCCAGACAGCCAGGAUGUUGGCUUAGAAGCAGCCAUCAUUUAAAGAAAGCGUAAUAGCUCACUGGUCGAGUCGGCCUGCGCGGAAGAUGUAACGGGGCUAAACCAUGCACCGAAGCUGCGGCAGCGACGCUUAUGCGUUGUUGGGUAGGGGAGCGUUCUGUAAGCCUGCGAAGGUGUGCUGUGAGGCAUGCUGGAGGUAUCAGAAGUGCGAAUGCUGACAUAAGUAACGAUAAAGCGGGUGAAAAGCCCGCUCGCCGGAAGACCAAGGGUUCCUGUCCAACGUUAAUCGGGGCAGGGUGAGUCGACCCCUAAGGCGAGGCCGAAAGGCGUAGUCGAUGGGAAACAGGUUAAUAUUCCUGUACUUGGUGUUACUGCGAAGGGGGGACGGAGAAGGCUAUGUUGGCCGGGCGACGGUUGUCCCGGUUUAAGCGUGUAGGCUGGUUUUCCAGGCAAAUCCGGAAAAUCAAGGCUGAGGCGUGAUGACGAGGCACUACGGUGCUGAAGCAACAAAUGCCCUGCUUCCAGGAAAAGCCUCUAAGCAUCAGGUAACAUCAAAUCGUACCCCAAACCGACACAGGUGGUCAGGUAGAGAAUACCAAGGCGCUUGAGAGAACUCGGGUGAAGGAACUAGGCAAAAUGGUGCCGUAACUUCGGGAGAAGGCACGCUGAUAUGUAGGUGAAGUCCCUCGCGGAUGGAGCUGAAAUCAGUCGAAGAUACCAGCUGGCUGCAACUGUUUAUUAAAAACACAGCACUGUGCAAACACGAAAGUGGACGUAUACGGUGUGACGCCUGCCCGGUGCCGGAAGGUUAAUUGAUGGGGUUAGCGCAAGCGAAGCUCUUGAUCGAAGCCCCGGUAAACGGCGGCCGUAACUAUAACGGUCCUAAGGUAGCGAAAUUCCUUGUCGGGUAAGUUCCGACCUGCACGAAUGGCGUAAUGAUGGCCAGGCUGUCUCCACCCGAGACUCAGUGAAAUUGAACUCGCUGUGAAGAUGCAGUGUACCCGCGGCAAGACGGAAAGACCCCGUGAACCUUUACUAUAGCUUGACACUGAACAUUGAGCCUUGAUGUGUAGGAUAGGUGGGAGGCUUUGAAGUGUGGACGCCAGUCUGCAUGGAGCCGACCUUGAAAUACCACCCUUUAAUGUUUGAUGUUCUAACGUUGACCCGUAAUCCGGGUUGCGGACAGUGUCUGGUGGGUAGUUUGACUGGGGCGGUCUCCUCCUAAAGAGUAACGGAGGAGCACGAAGGUUGGCUAAUCCUGGUCGGACAUCAGGAGGUUAGUGCAAUGGCAUAAGCCAGCUUGACUGCGAGCGUGACGGCGCGAGCAGGUGCGAAAGCAGGUCAUAGUGAUCCGGUGGUUCUGAAUGGAAGGGCCAUCGCUCAACGGAUAAAAGGUACUCCGGGGAUAACAGGCUGAUACCGCCCAAGAGUUCAUAUCGACGGCGGUGUUUGGCACCUCGAUGUCGGCUCAUCACAUCCUGGGGCUGAAGUAGGUCCCAAGGGUAUGGCUGUUCGCCAUUUAAAGUGGUACGCGAGCUGGGUUUAGAACGUCGUGAGACAGUUCGGUCCCUAUCUGCCGUGGGCGCUGGAGAACUGAGGGGGGCUGCUCCUAGUACGAGAGGACCGGAGUGGACGCAUCACUGGUGUUCGGGUUGUCAUGCCAAUGGCACUGCCCGGUAGCUAAAUGCGGAAGAGAUAAGUGCUGAAAGCAUCUAAGCACGAAACUUGCCCCGAGAUGAGUUCUCCCUGACUCCUUGAGAGUCCUGAAGGAACGUUGAAGACGACGACGUUGAUAGGCCGGGUGUGUAAGCGCAGCGAUGCGUUGAGCUAACCGGUACUAAUGAACCGUGAGGCUUAACCUUACAACGCCGAAG